GGAUAUGAGGGCAAUCUGGCUGUGACAUCUGUCACCCCAUUGAUUCGGCUGAUCUGGCUGACUAGGUUGGUGUCCCCUUCCUCCCUCACUGCUCCAUGUACGUCCCUCCUGAAGCUGCACGCUUGAUUGAAGAGGACGGCCUUCCCCAAACAGAGAUGGACCCAGUCUUCAGUGGAGGGUAUAUGAGAAGUUGCAAUCCUCUGCUAGAACCUCCAAACAAGCUCUUAAAUAUAAAAGAGGCUUAGUUAGGUAGUUGGUGGGCAUGUUUUGAUGGCAUAUACUAAGUUACUUUUCUAU
rnacentral:snRNA from 1 species